AUGAAUGAUAAAAAUAUAUUGCAACAAUUCUUAGGAAUUGUAAAUUAUGCAAGGAAUUAUAUAGAUAACCUAGCAAAACUUGCUGGACCUUUAUAUGCUAAAUUAAGAAAGAAUGGUCAAAGAUAUUUUAACUCAGAAGAUAUAAAACUAGUAAGGACCAUUAAAGACAAGGUCAAGAAUUUGAAACCUUUAGAAUUACCAUUAGAAGACUAUUACUUUAUAAUUGAAACCGAUGCCUCUAAAGUAGGUUGGGGAGCUAUAUUAAAGCAAAAACCCAACAAAUAUUCUCCCAAAACUAAGGAGAAAAUAUGUAGAUAUGCUUCAGGAAGUUACAAAUUAAAGACAUUAAAUAAUAUUGAUAGAGAAAUUCUUGCGGUAGUUCACGCAAUUAAUGCUUUUAGAUUAUAUUUAGGAUUUAAGGAAUUUACAGUACGAACAGACAGUGAAGCAAUAUGUAGAUAUUAUAAUCAGAUUAAUAGCAAGAAAAGUUCAACUAGAAGAUGGGUAUUAUUCGAAGAUACUAUAGCAAGGAAUGGAUAUAAAGUAAUAUUUGAACAUAUCAAAGGUAAAGAUAAUAGUUUGCCUGACAUAUUAUCUCGCUCCUCAAUUUUACAGCAAUGA
rnacentral:rRNA from 1 species